CCUACGGGCGGCACCAGUAGGGAAUCUUCGGCAAUGGACGAAAGUCUGACCGAGCAACGCCGCGUGAGUGAAGAAGGUUUUCGGAUCGUAAAACUCUGUUGUUAGAGAAGAACAAGUAGGAGAGUAACUGCUCUUACCUUGACGGUAUCUAACCAGAAAGCCACGGCUAACUACGUGCAGCUGCCGCGGUAAUACGUAGGUGGCAAGCGUUGUCCGGAUUUAUUGGGCGUAGAGCGAGCGCAGGCGGUCUUUAAAGUCUGAUGUGAAAGCCCUCGGCUCAACCGAGGAAGGUCAUUGGAAACUGGAGGACUUGAGUGCAGAAGAGGAGAGUGGAAUUCCAUGUGUAGCGGUGAAAUGCGUAGAUAUAUGGAGGAACACCAGUGGCGAAGGCGACUCUCUGGUCUGUAACUGACGCUGAGGCUCGAAAGCGUGGGGAGCAAACAGGAUUAGAUACCCCAGUAGUC
rnacentral:rRNA from 1 species